AUUGAACGCUGGCGGUAGGCCUAACACAUGCAAGUCGAGCGGAUGAAGGGAGCUUGCUCCUGCAUUCAGCGGCGGACUGGUGAGUAAUGCCUAGGAAUCUGCCUGUUAGUGGGGGAUUACGUCCGGAAACGGGCGCUAAUACCGCAUUCGUCCUGACGGCGAACGUGGGGGAUCUUCGGACCUCACGCUAUCACAUGAGCCUAUGUCGGAUUAGCUAGUUAGGGGGGUAAAGGCCUACCAAGGCGACAAUCCGUAACUGGUCUGAGAGGAUGAUCAGACACACUGGAAGUGAGACACGGUCCAGACUCCUACGGGAGGCAGCAGUGGGGAAUAUUGGACAAUGGGCGAAAGCCUGAUCCAGCCAUGCCGCGUGUGUGAAGAAGGGCUUCGGAUUGUAAAGCACUUUAAGUUGGGAAGAAGGGCAGUAAGUUAAUACCUUGCUGUUUUGACGGUACCAACAGAAUAAGCACCGGCUAACUUCGUG
rnacentral:rRNA from 1 species